rnacentral:rRNA from 1 species
AGUGAAUAGAUACCCUGGUAGUCCCAGCCGUAAACGAUGCGCGUUAGGUGUAUCAGUGACCACGAGUCACUGAGGUGCCGAAGAGAAAUCGUGAAACGUGCCGCCUGGGAAGUACGGUCGCAAGGCUGAAACUUAAAGGAAUUGGCGGGGGAGCACCACAACAGGUGGAGCCUGCGGUUUAAUCGGACUCAACGCCGGGAAACUCACCAGUUAAGACAGCUGAAUGAUAGUCGGGCUGAAGACUCUACUUGACUAGCUGAGAGGAGGUGCAUGGCCGUCGUCAGUUCGUACUGUGAAGCAUCCUGUUAAGUCAGGCAACGAGCGAGACCCACGCCAACAGUUGCUAGCUCGUCCUCCGGGAUGGAGAGGACACUGUUGGGACCGCCUCUGCUAAAGAGGAGGAAGGAAUGGGCAACGGUAGGUCAGCAUGCCCCGAAUUAACUGGGCUACACGCGGGCUACAAUGGGUGGGACAAUGGGUAUCGACACCGAAAGGUGAAGGCAAUC